rnacentral:tRNA from 1 species
GCGGGCAUGGUCUAAAGGUUGGGCCUCAGUCUUCCAAACUGAUGAUGCCGGUUCGAGUCCGGCUGUCCGCU